GCACUGGUGGUCUAGUCGGCAAGACACUGCUCUCGUAAGGCGGCGACGUGGGUUCGAGGCCCACCCGGUGCUC
rnacentral:tRNA from 1 species